AAUUAUUAUUAUUAAUUUUUAAUUAGAAAUGAAAUGUUAAUCGAUUUUAAAUAUAUCUAGUUUUUUUAGAAUUGAAUUUAAUUCAGCUUUAAAAUUAAAUUUAUUAAUUUUUUUUAAUUUAUUAAAUUAUUUUAAAGUAAUUAUAUUCGGGAUAAAUUGAAUAUAAAAAUUAUAAAUUAAUUUAAUUAUUAUUAAUUUUAUAAGUGGUAAUAAAAUUAUAUUUCUUUAUAAAAAAUGUUAAAAUUUAUAUUAAAAUAUUUUUUAUUAAAAUUUAUUUUUAAUUUUAAUUAUUUAUAAAAAAAUUAAUAAUUAAUAAAAUUUUAUAAGUUAUAAUGAUUAUAUUAGUAAUGGAUUUUUGUUUAAUUAAUUUAUAAUUAUAAAAUUAUUAUAUUAAUUUAAGGAAUUUAGCAAAUAAUUAUUUAUAAAAUAAUUUAUUAUAAUAUAUAAAUAUAAUAUAUAUAUAUAUUUACCUGUUUAUCAAAAACAUGUCUUAUUGAUUAAAAUAAUAAGUCAAUUCUGCCCAUUGAAAUAAUUAAAAGGCUGCAGUAUAUUAACUGUACAAAGGUAGCAAAAUCAAUAGUUUUUUAAUUGGAAACUUGAAUGAAAGAAUUCAUAAAAUAUAAACUGUCUCAAAUUAAUUAAAAUUGAAUUUAAAUUUAAAGUUAAAAUGCUUUAAUAAAUUUAUUAGACGAUAAGACCCUAAGAAUUUAAUAAUAUUAUUUAUUAAUUUAAUUAUGUAAUUUUAAUUUAUUAUAAAAAAUAUUAGUUUAUUGGGAGGGUAAUUAAAAAUUUUGAACUUUAAUUUUUAUAGA
rnacentral:rRNA from 1 species